UAGUACGAGCGAGUGAGCGGGAAGAGCUCAAAUUUGAAAUCUUCAAGGUUUUACCUUGACGAAUUGUAGUUUAAAGAAGUGUUUUCUGUUGAAGUUUUGGUAAAAGUUCUUUGGAAUAGGACAUCAUAGAGGGUGAGAAUCCCGUAUUUGACCAUUAUUUUCAGCUGUGUGAUACACUUUCAAAGAGUCGGAUUGUUUGGGAAUGCAGUCCAAAAUGGGUGGUAAAUUUCAUCUAAAGCUAAAUAUUGGCGAGAGACCGAUAGCGAACAAGUACCGUGAGGGAAAGAUGAAAAGAACUUUGAAAAGAGAGUUAAACAGUACGUGAAAUUGUCAAAAGGGAAGCGUUUGACACCAGUGUUGUUUUCUCGAAAAUCAAUUAAAAAAAGUUAGAUUUUGUUGUGUAUUGACCUUAACAGCUUGCAUUUCAAUUUUCUUGCUUUUUUUAAUGCACUUUUCGUUUAACAAGUCAACAUCAGUUUCUUUUGUUGUAAAAAGGUCAUUGGAAGGUGGCUUUCUUUUCGGAGAAAGUGUUUAUAGCCUUUGACUCCUGCAAUCGGAGAGACUGAGGUCUGCAGCGUAGAUCCUUCGGGGUUAGAUACAUUUGUGCUAAGUUAUAGCUUUUUAUAGACAACUUGUUGACUAUGAUUAGUCUUGUAGCUUACUCGCUUAUGCUAUUUUACCUACGCUUAGGAUGUUGACAAAAUGGUUUUAAACGACCCGUCUG
rnacentral:rRNA from 1 species